CGGGCUGGGCCCGCGCGCGGCGGCAGCGGCGCCCCGGGCCGGAGGCGGCCCAGCCGAGCGGGCCAUGGCUACCGCCAUUCAGAACCCGCUCAAGUCCCUAGGCGAGGACUUCUACCGCGAGGCCAUCGAGCACUGCCGCAGCUACAACGCGCGCCUGUGCGCCGAGCGCAGCCUGCGACUGCCCUUCCUCGACUCGCAGACCGGCGUGGCCCAGAACAAUUGCUACAUCUGGAUGGAGAAGACCCACCGCGGGCCGGGUUUGGCCCCCGGACAGAUUUACACGUACCCCGCCCGCUGUUGGAGGAAGAAACGGAGACUCAACAUCCUGGAGGACCCCAGACUCAGGCCCUGCGAGUACAAGAUCGACUGUGAAGCACCCCUGAAGAAGGAGGGUGGCCUCCCGGAAGGGCCGGUCCUCGAGGCUCUACUGUGUGCAGAGACGGGGGAGAAGAAGAUUGAGCUGAAGGAGGAGGAGACCAUUAUGGACUGUCAGAAACAGCAGUUGCUGGAGUUUCCGCAUGAUCUCGAGGUGGAAGACUUGGAGGAUGACAUUCCCAGGAGGAAGAACAGGGCCAAAGGAAAGGCAUAUGGCAUCGGGGGUCUCCGGAAACGCCAGGACACCGCUUCCCUGGAGGACCGAGACAAGCCGUAUGUCUGUGAUAGUGAGUCCUUCUGAAGAGGGGGAAAGGCAGAGAGAGGGGGGCCCAGAGACUCCCCACCUCGUGGCCCUCUCCCUCCUGUUCCAGACCCGGGUUGGGAGGCUGCUCAGGUCUCUGGCUGAGGGGGGAGGUGUGAUCCUGGAGGCCAGGGUGGAGGCGGCAUGGGCCCGGAGGGGCUGACAGGCCCUCCUGGCUCGCUCGCUCCCCAGUCUGUGGGAAACGGUAUAAGAACCGGCCGGGGCUCAGCUACCACUACACCCACACCCACCUGGCCGAGGAGGAGGGGGAGGAGAACGCCGAACGCCACGCCCUGCCCUUCCACCGGAAAAACAACCAUAAACGUGAGCUGGCAGGCCAGGUGGGGGUGGCAAGGGGCCCCGGGAAUGGGGAAGAGGAGCCCAGCUGGGGGU
rnacentral:sRNA from 1 species